rnacentral:sRNA from 1 species
AUGUGAACACAAUAGGUGUGUAACAACUGUCACUUCACUAAUUACUGCAGUUGACUCAGCUGACUUGGCUAGUCAGCUGAUGUCUCCUUUGACCCUCACAGCU